UCUUAAGAAAAAUAGGCAGCACCAUAUUUGUGAUUGUAGGAGACAUCAUAUUUUCUCCUGAAGAAUAGGUGCCAGUUCUACAUUGAGAUAGCAUCAUAUAUUUAUGUAGGAUUCGUGCAUGUCCUUUAUAAGGAGAAAAAUAAUUAUGUUUCUUGCAGCAGGUUUUCAAAAAGGAAACCAAUUACCAAAACAACAUACGAGUUUUGCUCACCGCUUCGAUCUCGUUAUUUUAUUUUGUCAUGUUAUUGAAUUCGGGCUUUCUUCGAAGGAAAGUAAAGUGAAAGAUCUUGACAUAUAAGGCUAAAGGGGCGACGAAGCAAGCUUGGUUACGGUUGAUCUACGACAGGUACAGAUACUCGAUUUGGUGAUCCUCCAGCUUAGGGUUUCCACUCAGCUGUCUUGGAGAGCUCCAUUGUUCCGGAGCCUAGACUUUUGGUACAGAUCCUUUUGAUGUAUAUAUAUGUUUAUCCAGGGGUACGGUGGGGCCCUGUCCCGUCAUAUGUCACUGUUGAUACUCCUAGAGGUCUGUAAACAUAUGUGUGGGUUGUGUAUGAGUUUUGCUCAGCUGUGUCUAUAUGGUUUGCUAUGGAUAUUCCCGCUUGUAAUGGCAGCCUCGUCGGCUUGCGUAUGAUAUUGAUAUGUUAUGGCAGCCUUGUCGGCUUGCGUAUGGUAUUGAUAUAUUGUGGCAGCC